GGUCAAUUUUAAUGGAGUUUUGAAAUCUCUUGUGGGGAAAUUACCGUUGGCUG
rnacentral:tRNA from 1 species